GACGAAGGGGGCUAGCGUUGUUCGGAAUUACUGGGCGUAAAGCGCGUGUAGGCGGUUGCCCAAGUCGGGUGUGAAAGCCUUGAGCUCAACUCAAGAAAUGCACUCGGUACUGGGUGACUAGAGGACCGGAGAGGAUAGUGGAAUUCCUGGUGUAGCGGUGAAAUGCGCAGAUAUCAGGAGGAACACCGGUGGCGAAGGCGGUUCUCUGGGCAUUACCUGACGGCUGGAGGAGCGAAAAGUGUCGGGAGCGAACAGG
rnacentral:rRNA from 1 species